GUGCCAGCCGCCGCGGUAAUACGUAGGGUCCGAGCGUUGUCCGGAGUUACUGGGCGUAAAGCGCGCGCAGGCGGCUUGAUAAGUCUGGCGUGAAAGCCCCCGGCUCAACCGGGGAGGGUCGUCGGAGACUGUGAAGCUUGAGGGCGGUAGGGGCUGGUGGAAUUCCCGGUGUAGUGGUGAAAUGCGUAGAGAUCGGGAGGAACACCUGUGGCGAAGGCGGCCAGCUGGGCCGACCCUGACGCUGAGGCGCGAAGGCGUGGGGAGCGAACGGGAUUAGAAACCCGUGUAGUCC
rnacentral:rRNA from 1 species